rfam:Pseudomonas sp. HPB0071 genomic scaffold aczIi-supercont1.1, whole genome shotgun sequence.
CCUCUUCGAUCUGCUGCGGACAGAUGAAGUGAAUGUGACUAUCGAUGCCGCCUGCUGUGAGGAUCAUGCCUUCCCCAGCGAUGACCUCUGUUGCGCCACCAAUAGCAAUCGUUACUCCCGGCUGGAUGUCCGGGUUGCCUGCCUUGCCGAUGGCUGCAAUACGGCCAUUCUUGAGGCCGACGUCCGCCUUCACAAUUCCCCAGUGGUCAAGAAUCAGCGCAUUGGUGAUCACCGUGUCGACCACGUCGGCUGCGCAACGCUGACUCUGGCCCAUGCCGUCGCGGAUG